CCCUUAGAUGUUCUGGGCCGCACGCGCGCUACACUGAUACAUGCAACGAGUUUAUAACCUUGAUCUGACGGUCUGGGUAAUCUUCAAACUGUAUCGUGUUAGGGAUCGAUUCUUGCAAUUUUUAAUCGUAAACGAGGAAUUCCUAGUAAACGCAAGUCAUCAGCUUGCAUUGAUUACGUCCCUGCCCUUUGUACACACCGCCCGUCGACUCUACCGAUUGAAUGGUUCGGUGAAAACUUUGGACUGUGGCAUUGUCCUUCAUUGGGCUUCGCCGUAGGAAAUUGUUUAAACCUCAUCAUUUAGAGGAAGAAUAAGUCGUAACA
rnacentral:rRNA from 1 species